rnacentral:lncRNA from 10 species
GAGUAGCUGGGAUUACAGGCGCCCGCCAUCACGCCCGUCUAAUUUUUUUGUAUUUUUAGUAGAGACGGGGUUUCACCGUGUUAGCCAGGAUGGUCUCGAUCUCCUGACCUCGUGAUCCGCCCGCCUCGGCCUCCCAAAGUGCUGGGAUUACAAGCGUGAGCCACCGCGCCCGGCCACUAAGGGCUUUUACAAUUUCUUAUUUAAACCUCAUCAUGACCCUAGAAGGCAGAUGAACCUAAUUUAAAUCGAUAUAAACCACAGCAUCCAAAUCAGACAUGAUGCAGAAUUCUGGAACUUCAGUGAUCUCCUAGUUCAGAAGGUUUCAGCCUUCCUGAUCAAACUUCCCUUUGUAUAACAAAUAUUUUGCAAGGCCUCCUUUAUCAUCUUGAAAAAAAUGUACAUGUAAUAUAUCCCAAUCAAUAUAAUGUCCUAAUUCCAAUAUAAAGGAGAAAUAAAAGGAAAGUGAUUUGUAAUAAUAUGUAGUUUAAUAUAUAGGUGCUCGGGCACAAUUUCAGCAGCAGAUACGAUGAAGCAGUCAGAUGCCAAUACUUACAGGUAAACUCACUGUGAGCAAAGCAGCUUCAAAUGCAGGCUGAUAACCAGGGGGGUUAUUUGUGACUCAGAUACAGGAGUGGUAGUGUCACUGGUGUUGUGGCUGUCUGAAAUGGCAAACAACUCUCGGCAAAGUUUCAAUCAAACGAAUUUUGCCUUGAUUUACACAGUAGAUGCAUUUCUAGGAAACACUGUAUAUUGAAACCACCCAAAAAUACUUCUGUUUAUUUAUAAAACAGAGUUCUAGGAUCAAGUAGUUAUGAGCAGGUGGUUCACUACGUCAGUUUCUGGUAGAAUACUAAGAAUUCAUGUGAGGUUCAUGACAGCUGUGUUGUAUGGAGUUGUCCCACACUUUGCAGGGCUGCCAGCAACCCCCAUCCACACCCACCAAGUGUCCUCCUCUCCUAUCAGCCUGAAGGCGGAAAGCACCGCUCAAGCCUCCCGAGCGCCCCCUCGUGCACAGUCCUGUUCUUGCUGAGAAUCGCUGGCACAGCGCAUCUCUCUGAAAUGCAGACGUCUCCUCUGCAGCUUCCAGAAUGAGAGCAAAAUCAUCACAACGAGAGUGCCUUCUCUUUCAUGCUCCUUCUGGAUCUCAGGAACAACUCUAGGGGAUGGGUAUUAUUGUCUCCAUUUGCCAGAUGAAGAAGCAGAAGACACUGGAAAUUACUGAUGCUGAAACAGUUGCACCCUGAGCACCUCAACAAUUGAAUUCUCAGUCUCUAAGAGAAGUAACAAAGAGUAAGGACAUCUAACCAUCUACACAACUGUCUCUGUUUCAUAUAGAAACACUUAGCUAACGCUGCAGAUUUUUCUCAUAAGACACUUGCCAUGCCAAUUAACUUGGGCUGGGGUAACGAAUCCCUGGAUAAUAUGAAUUUAUAAUCUAACGAUGUUUUGCUAGUAUCAUAAGAGUAAAGAUGAAAUGCCUCUGUGUCACUCUUCUGCUAACAACCACUCAGCCCAAAAUGCAAGCUGGAUAAGCAGGGACUCCCUUUAGGCACAUGGUCCCACAGAACACACACGGCUGGUAUUCAGCCGCAAGAAGGAAUUUAUUAUGGGAGUUCCUAAGAGCAAUGGCAUGAGAGGAAUCAAUGUGAAAAAUCUAUAUUUCUUCUACCAAAAAUUGACCAAUUUAUUCUCACCUCCCAAAUUAUGGUUUGACUUUAGCUUUGCGGAACUUGAGGCAAGGUGAAUUUACACUGUGAUUUCUUUCCUUCAUACAGAUGAACACCUGACUUACUGACAAAGUUUCUCAUAUAUAUAUAUGAGAAUAUAUAUAUAUUCUUUCUUUUCUCAAUGCUCAUUUUUUUCUUUUUUUUUUUUUUGGAAGAGGAAAAGACUAAGGCUGGCAAAAUUUUCUCUAAGCAUACAUCAGGCAGCUAAAGGGUUUAAAUGAAAGUGCAAUUGAUUGCUUUCCUCCAGCUGGGGAGGGGAUUGGGGUGGGGUGGCAUGAAGGACCCUGUACUUACCAGCCUCCUACUGUGUACCAAACCUUCUCACAGGUGCUCAUCAAAUUUAAUGGCCAAAGCAACCGUAUUGGUCAUUAUAAUUGCCAUCUUACAGAUGGGAAAAAUAAGAGAAGAUGACUUGCUCAAGUUCCCAAGCACGUGCUAGCCUCAGGAUUUGAACCUAGAUCUGUCUGAACUAGGAAACCGUAGUGAUUUUAUGAUACCCUUUGGUAACCACUUGUUUGUAUAACCUUGCCUUCCUCCACUGUUUCACACAGGACAUGGUGUUCACUGCCCCACUGGGCAUUUUUUUUUUUUUUGAGACAGGGUCUCAUUCUGUCACUCAGGCUGGAGUGCAGGAGCGUGAUCAUAGCUCACUGUACUCUCAAACUCCUGAGCUCAAGUGUUCUUCCCAUCUCAGCCUCCUAAGUAGGUGGGACUACAGGCACACACCACCAUGCCCAGCUAAUUUUUUUAAAUUUUUGUAGAGACGAGGUCUCACUAUGUUGCCCAGGCUGGUCUGGAACUCCUGGUGUCAAGUGACCCUCCUGCCUCACCUUCCCAAAGUACUGGGACUAUAGGCAUAAGCCACCACACCCAGCCUUAACAUAAAUCUUUGCGUGGCACAAAGAGCUGGACUUUCUGCCCUUAGAAUUUGUCUCAGUUCCCAAAUCUGAAACUCCAGGGGCGCAAUCGUAAAUGGAAACUCUACUUGCAGGGGCCUUUAGAGAGGAGCUCUUUCUCCUCUCAGCUCUGUCUCUCCCACAGAUAUAACUGUGAGCACAAUUUUAAUGGUCUUUCACUAUACACAAUGAAGAACUGUUGAAGGAAGUUCUAAAUUCCAUGAAGCUCUGCCAUGAUUUCACUAUAAUUCCGUAAACAUAUGCUGAAUAUGAAUAAACGAAUAAACAAGAAAACCAAUGACUGUAUUCUGUGCUUCCCAGCCUGAGAAUAGUUUCUCAAUGAGUGAGGACUAAGGGAAGUGCUGGAACAGGCCUACUGCAGGCCUGGGCUCUUCCCCUCUUCCCACCUGCUUUAAAGUAAAGCCCUCCAGGAACAGAGAGGAAAUUGCACCAAUAAACACAAUAUUAUUUUAAAUCCUUGAUUUCCUGCAUGACAUAGCAAAGCAUUUGCUCUCGUGCCCACUCAAGUCAGCAUGAAAUCCCAUCCCAAAAAAGUGGAGGGGGGCUAGAGGGAGAUUAAAAAGAGAGCAUUUAUCACAACUGCAAUUAGAAUCAGAAUCAAAUUGUUUUAAAGAAACAAUGUCAACGUUUUACAGACUAUUCUUCUAUGAAGUAGGGAGUCUGGGAGCACCCAGCUGCUGUUUUCAACUUCAUAAUCUCAUUCUAGCUAAAUUAUACCAUUCAAUCACAAAAGUAUUAAUAUGCAGCACAAACUUGUAUAUAUACAACAGUACUAAAUAGUCUGUUAAAGGGCAAGUACCUAAUGGCAAAUGAGUUUAUUCAAACCAUAUUUAAUUUGCCCUUUAUCAUCACAGAAGACUAUGAAACCAUUCUUUAUUUCUCUCUGUGUUUUAAUGGUUGUCAUCUAUCAGGCUCUUGGGCAUCUUGUGCAUUUUGAUAAAACGUUAAUCUAACAGAUGUUCAGGGACACUCCUCUGUGGGUGGA